GUGGAUAGCCAGGGUGCAUCUAAAAAAUUUUUUAUAACAACAUAAUAAAGAUUAGAUCUUUACCUGAUAUGCAGUGGAAUAAGAAUCAAAUUUGCAAAGAUUCUGAAUCCAAAGCCUUAUGUAGGUCUGAAUCCAUAAACCCUCUACUUUGCGUGCAUGCCAAACUUCAUAGGAAAGUGAGAUGAAGCUUUGGAUUGAAGCAUCUUCGCAAGACAAUAAAGGAGGAAAGAGAAUCUCUGAUGUGAUGCCUCACACCAACA
rnacentral:lncRNA from 1 species